GAUGAACGCUGGCGGCGUGCCUAAUACAUGCAAGUCGAGCGAACGGACGAGAAGCUUGCUUCUCUGAUGUUAGCGGCGGACGGGUGAGUAACACGUGGAUAACCUACCUAUAAGACUGGGAUAACUUCGGGAAACCGUAGCUAAUACCGGAUAAUAUUUUGAACCGCAUGGUUCAAAAGUGAAAGACGGUCUUGCUGUCACUUAUAGAUGGAUCCGCGCUGCAUUAGCUAGUUGGUAAGGUAACGGCUUACCAAGGCAACGAUGCAUAGCCGACGUGAGAGGGUGAUCGGCCACACUGGAACUGAGACACGGUCCAGACUCCUACGGGAGGCAGCAGUAGGGAAUCGUCCGCAAUGGGCGAAAGCCUGACGGAGCAACGCCGCGUGAGUGAUGAAGGUCUUCGGAUCGUAAAACUCUGUUAUUAGGGAAGAACAUAUGUGUAAGUAACUGUGCACAUCGUGACGGUACCUAAUCAGAAAGCCACGGCUAACUACGUG
rnacentral:rRNA from 1 species